UGAGUCGGCCAGACAAUCGCUGUUAUCGCACCUUUGGUGAGGUAGUGGAGGAAAGUCCGGGCUCCACAGAGCAGGGUGCCAGGUAACGCCUGGGAGGCGCGAGCCUACGGAAAGUGCAACAGAAAGAUACCGCCCGCCAUAGCCUCGUUUACGACGCGACGGCGGGUAAGGGUGAAAUGGUGCGGUAAGAGCGCACCGCAUGGGUGGCAACAUUCCAUGGCACGGCAAACCCCACCUGGAGCAAGGCCAAAUAGGAAUCCACCGGUGUGGCUCGCACUGGAUUCGGGUAGGCU
rnacentral:RNase_P_RNA from 1 species